GGAGGAUUAGCCAAGUGGUUUACGGCGACAGUCUCGAAAACUGUUCUCCUGAAAAGGAGGCGCAGGUUCGAAUCCUGCAUCCUCCG
rfam:Microgenomates bacterium GW2011_GWC1_39_12 TT26_C0010, whole genome shotgun sequence.